GACGAACGCUGGCGGCGUGCUUAACACAUGCAAGUCGAACGGAAAGGCCCUGCUUUUGUGGGGUGCUCGAGUGGCGAACGGGUGAGUAACACGUGAGUAACCUGCCCUUGACUUUGGGAUAACUUCAGGAAACUGGGGCUACUACCGGAUAGGAGCUCCUGCUGCAUGGUGGGGGUUGGACAGUUUCGGCGGUUGGGGAUGGACUCGCGGCUUAUCAGCUUGUUGGUUGGGUAGUGGCUUACCAAGGCUUUGACGGGUAGCCGGCCUGAGAGGGUGAACGGCCACAUUGGGACUGAGAGACGGCCCAGACGCCUACGGGAGGCAGCAGGGGGGAAUAUUGCACAAUGGGCGGAAGCCUGAUGCAGCAACGCCGCGUGCGGGAUGACGGCCUUCGGGUUGUAAACCGCUUUCGCCUGUGACGAAGCGUGAGUGACGGUAAUGGGUAAAGAAGCACCGGCUAACUACGUG
rnacentral:rRNA from 1 species